CCCGCGCCGCGAGGUCCUAAGCAGCCCGGACUGUUGCGCGGCGCUGGCGGGCGGGGACACCGCCGGGGAGUGGAUACUCCGAGGCUCAACCUGGGGCCUCUGCCCGCCCUCCGCUGGGUGCAGAGGCGGACAGCGGGCACUGGCAACCCCCGGGCCCCUGGAGAGCCCCGCGGCGGCCCAAGACCCGCUCCCAAGACACCUGGCCCCCUCCGGACUUGGUUGGUCCCCGGAGCCAGCUGCGCGCGUCCUCUCUGGCCUCCUUGUCGGCGCUGGAGUGGGUCCACGUCUGCCUUGCGGAGCGCGGUGGUUCCACGCUUCUGAGCGCCCACGCUGCGCAGACCUGGCUGCUCUGCGAGGCGACGGCAGCGCACUGAAGACUGUGGUGUUUCCCAAGCCCUCCCUGCUCCCGGGUCUCCAGGGCGCAGCAGGGGAGGGUUUUGUCCCGGUGACCAAAGCUCUGCAGGUCGAACCUUAUGUGCUCUGGAAAGGCCCUGCAUUUUCAGAUUCACGCAGGGCCCUCUGCAGACUGUUGGCAGAAACAAGGUAGCCACCAAACACAUGCAUAAGCUGGACUUUUCCCAGAAUGCUGCAGCAGAACUACCCUCCAGAUAGACACCAGCCUGCAGGCCACAGUGCUACGUGAGUCUUGCAAAGAGGAGAUCUUUACGGCAAGGCUGAGAGCACUGCCUGCAUGCUUUACCAGAGCCCAGCCUCCAGCCUCCAUGGAAAAUGUGUUUUGGAAUCAACACUCUUUCCAAAGGCUCCACACUGCUCUCUGGUGGCAUUGGCCUGGGCGCCCAGGCACCCCUUUAGAACCCACCUGUUCCCCCCACCCACCCUAGCGGGAGGAGGAGAGAGUUACACUGACAGAUACCGGCAGCUCUGCAACCCGGGAACAAGGCAGACAACAUACAACUCGACAGAGUCAAAGAAGGUGGCAUCCAUUGUGCCUGGAUGGUAACUACUGCCCUGCGGGCUGCUGGGUGGGUGAAACACACAGGGAAGAAGCACAAAUACACACACAGAUGUGGCUCAGGGACA
rnacentral:lncRNA from 1 species